ensembl:lncRNA
GCACCUCGACUGAAGAAAGAAGAGAGAACCAAUUCACUAGUUACAGCAUCUGCGAGCGCUCUGCAAAGGCAGCUUCCUAGUUACAGCAGCGCGUCCCCUGAACGAUAAUGAAGCGGGAACGUUAGGCGAGAAGCCUGACCACGGAGACGGGGGUGAGAAGGUGAUAAAGCGUACUUCAUGAGCUGUAACUGUCAACUACCGCCAUUUGGAAAGUAUGAGGUAAUUAUUUUACCUAUGAGGGAGUGAGGAGGAUCAGGGAAGGGAGAAGAUGAUGAGGCAGUGGGUGGUCCACCUUCCCUGUGGCCGACAUGGUCG